AAAGCAUGCCUAAUGCUACUGUUGACAGUCACAUUGUAAAAGUACUCCGACUUCAAUCAGUGCUGUAACACGCGGCGGCGCACGCGAGCGUAUAUGACUAGGGGAUAGUGAAUUUGUUGAACGCCACUGAUUUUAAUAUACGUUUCACUGACCGUUCAGCAUAUCAAGAAAGUGAAGCGGAACCUUACAAAUAUAAUGCUUGAUAUUAAGCUUAACAGAGCUAACAUGGUUAAGGAAUUGAAAAUAUAAGUUGCCUUAAGAAUGCGUACAGUUAUAUUCGAGUGCGGUAGUGGGACCAUGACAUUAGCAACUGAAUUUUAUCAAUAAACAAAUUCAUUCUUUUUUUGACCAUUUCGCAGAUCGGAGCAUUGUAUUAAUAAACAAAAGUGAAUUUGCCGGUAUUUAAAUGAUGUUUUGGUGUUUUUUGGUUGUAUUAGUGACGGCGUCGAUUGAAAAAGUUUACCUCCAAACAGUAUCAAGUGGUGCAAGGGAAUUAUCUGCUGUAAGAAGAUCGCUGGAUCCAACCCCUAGGACAGUUUCCGCUUGGUCGAUUCUCAACCAAGUAGCAAUGACCGAUGAUAGUACCGAAGAAGUGGGUAGGAAAAGAAAGAAGGGGAAGUUCAAGAAGAAACUUAAAAGGUUCAUGUUACCCCUUUUGUUAGCUUACAAAAUGAAAUUUUUCACAUUAAUACCAAUUUUAGUCGGUGGAUUAAUUUUACUUACCGCAUCAACUGGGUUAGCCGGUUUCUUUUUUGCACUUUUUGCGGCUUCGCUAGGUUUGAAAACGGGAUAUAAAUAAAGUAAACGGCCAAAUAAGUAAAAGGGUUUCAUAAAUUAGUGCAGGAAGUAAUUUGCCAUUUACAUUUUAGGGUAGCUAUUUAUUUAUUAAACAGUGUAUUAGUGAAAUUGUUAUAUCAGCUGUAUCUUAAGAUCGGAAAUGACAUUCUGUAUUAAAAUAAUUUCAAUUCUUCCCUAAGACUGAUUAAAUAUUGUAUUCCGUUACAUUAUGUACACCUUCAACAUAAUUUUAUUAGAGUCACCAAUAACCACAAGGGUUUAUGCUCUAGUUAAGUACACCAUGCUAACGAAACUGUAAUGUAGUGCUCCAUAGUAUUAAUCAAAUUGUGUGCGAUUUACAGAUAUUCCGAUAAUGCAUAGUUGCUGUACAAUAAUCCAGUCAUAAAUCUGCUCACAAUAAUUGUAUUUGCGUCAUUAACAGCUAUACCUAUUCGAUUUGAUAACAAUCGAAAAGUGUUUGUAGAUAUUGAAAAAUUGUAAAUCAAUUAUGCCCACAUGGUCUAUAAUGGGUAGGUAUAUUAUUUAUUUAUUAUGAAUUUUUUAUACAGUUAUGCGUUGGCGUUUAUUUGUAGGCGUGCAGUAAAAUCUACAGUUUAAAAUUUGUGCAAAUGUCUCUUUUAGUUGCUAUAAAAUUACCAUUCAUUAAACAUACCAAUAAAUUAACCAAAAAUGC